GCUUCAUAAACAUCAGUUCUGAGAUGAAAGGGUUGUGGAUUCUACAUGUGCAUGUCACAACUUUCAUCAGAACACAAGUUCAGGAAAAAUUCAAAUGUGGAAAACCUAUCGCCUCAAGUUAUUCGACAAAUAGCAAAAGAAAUGUCAGAACUAGUUUCAUCACCACCAGAGGGCAUUAAGGUAUUUAUAAAUGAUGAAGACAUAACAGAUAUUCAGGCUGUAAUUGAAGGUCCAGCUGGGACCCCAUAUGCUGGUGGUUCGUUUCGUGUGAAGUUGGUGCUUGGCAAAGACUUUCCAACAGGCCCACCUAAAGGUUAUUUUAUGACCAAAAUAUUUCAUCCUAAUGUAGCAAAAAAUGGUGAAAUAUGUGUCAAUACUCUGAAAAAAGAUUGGAAAUCUGAGCUUGGACUGAAACAUAUCUUGUUAACAGUAAAAUGCCUUCUCAUUGUUCCAAACCCGGAAUCAGCGUUAAAUGAAGAGGCAGGAAAACUUUUAUUGGAAAGGUAUGAUGAUUACUGUCAGCGAGCUAAGAUGAUGACUGAGAUUCAUGCUCACCCUCCUAAAUUUGCAAAAGAAGGCCUCGAGAUGGAUCCAACAUCUUCAUCAGUAGGCACCAUAUUCAAGGGUGUUGGAGGUCCUUUGGCUAAAAAGCAUGCUACUGAGAAAAGUAAAACAUUAUCAGAUAAAAAGAAUCUCAAACUUAUGAAAGAUAAGAAAAGAACCUUGAAGAGGCUAUGAGGCUAGUAUUAUUUUCUGUCAUGUUUUUUAUAAUUAGUGAAAAGGGCAGGUACGGACAAAAAUCAAAAUGUAUGUUUCCACUGCAUGCAUGUAUGCAUGUGAGUUUAUGCAUUUAGUAUGUGGUGUAUAUUGUAUAUGUAAUGUGAAGCUGUUUUGGACGAAACAGAAAAUAACAUAUACAUAUUUUAAAACCCAUAGUAAUUGCCAUAUUUUAUAAUAUAUUGUAUAUUUGCUGAAAUAAAAAAUUAGUUUAGCUUUCAAGAUAUCACUGUAUCUUGAAAAGAAGGUGCAUGAGAGGGGUAGUGUUGUCAUUUUUUUAAACUAAAAAGAUGAGGUAAACAAGUUUUCAAAUUUUUAAUAUCACUAUUUUGAAAAGAAGGUGCAUGAGAGGGGUAGUGUUGUCAUUUUUUAAGCUAAAAAGAUGAGGUAAACAGGUUCUCAAAUUCUUAAUAUCAUUAUCUUGAGAAGAAUGUGCAUGAGAAGGGUAGUGUUGUCAUUUUUUAAGCUAAAAAGAUGAGGUAAACAGGUUCUCAAAUUCUUAAUAUCGUUAUCUUGAGAAGAAGGUGCAUGACAAGAGUAGUGUUGUCAUUUUUUUAAACUAAAAAGAUGAGGUAAACAAGUUCUCAAGUUCUUAAUGUGUAGAUUUUAUUUUCAUACCUGUUAAGUUACAAUAAAAUGAAAUUGUUUCGUCCUUUAUUAUUUUGGUCUCUGGUUUAAUGGUUCCUUGAGUUUUGCUUGUCUAUAGUGGAAACAACACUAAGAUAAGGAAGGGAACAUUGUAUGUUUCUGUAGUAUUUGUACACAUGCAGUUUUAGGUUUAAAAAAGAACAUUUCACAUGGUUAUUAUGGUACCUUCAUAUGUCUAUGUGAUCAAUGGAUAUCUCCUGUAAUACUGAAUACCAUUGUACAAAAAACAAAAAUAGAAAAUAGCUGAUGGAGGGGUAAGUUGUGUGUUUAUGUAUUUUAUGUCAUUAAGGUAUUUGUGUGUAUUUGUGAUAAUGCUGUUGAAGCCUGGAAGUGUGACUUGUAUUGCUAUGUAGUUGUGAUAAGUGUUUAGGUGUAAAAAUGUUUGUGGCAUUAGCAUUAAGCUGUAAAUUUUGUGUAUUUGUGGUAUUGUUAAGUAGCUAGAAGCAUGCUUGGGAUAAGCUGUACUUGCUUUGUAUUUGUGAAUGUGUUGUAUAGCAUCAGAAGUAUUGGGGGUAGGCUAUACUUGUUGUGUAAUUAUGAUAGUUUUGUAUGGCUGUUGUGUAUUUUGUGUUGUAUAGUUAAAGACCAGAAUAUGUGUUGGUGGAGUAAGUUGUACUUGCUGUGAUAGUUUUGUGUGGUUGAAAAGAUAAUAUCUGUGAGGGUAGCACAUUGUAUUUCUCAUUGUUGUAUAAUUAGAAAGACCAGUGUGCAUGUAUUGGUAAAGUAAGUUGUAUUUACUGUGUAUUUAUGAGUUUUUUGUGGUUUAAAAGACUCGUUGGGGAUUAAAUGUUACCUGUCAUGUAUUUCUUAUUGUUGUAUAGUCAGAAAGACAAGUGGAGUAAGCUGUCUAAUUGUGAUAGUUUUGUAUUCCUGGAGAGACCUUUGUAUGUGUAUGGGUAACAUGUUACCUACUGUGUAUUUCUUAUUGUUGUAUAGUCAGAAAGACAAGUGGAGUAAGCUGUCUAAUUGUGAUAGU
rnacentral:misc_RNA from 1 species